UACGGAGGGAGCUAGCGUUAUUCGGAAUUACUGGGCGUAAAGCGCGCGUAGGCGGCUUUGUAAGUUAGAGGUGAAAGCCUGGAGCUCAACUCCAGAAUUGCCUUUAAGACUGCAUCGCUUGAAUCCAGGAGAGGUGAGUGGAAUUCCGAGUGUAGAGGUGAAAUUCGUAGAUAUUCGGAAGAACACCAGUGGCGAAGGCGGCUCACUGGACUGGUAUUGACGCUGAGGUGCGAAAGCGUGGGGAGCAAACAGG
rnacentral:rRNA from 1 species